GACGAACGCUGGCGGCGUGCUUAACACAUGCAAGUCGAACGGAGUGGCGAACGGGUGAGUAACACGUGGGUGAUCUGCCUUGCACUUCGGGAUAAGCUUGGGAAACUGGGUCUAAUACCCGAUAGUUCAAGAUGAGCGCGCGGCCUAUAAGCUUGUUGGUGGGGUAAAGGCCUACGAAGGCGUCGACGGGUAGCCGGCCUGGGAGGGUGUACGGCCACCAUGGGACUGAGCUACGGCCCAGAGUCGUACGUGGGGCAGCGGGGGCGAAUCUUGCGCAAUCGUCGGGAGCGUGAUGCAGCGACGCCGCGUGGGUGAUGUAGGCCUUCGGGUUGUGAACUCCUUACGUCAGGGACGCGUUACCUGUAUAAGAAGCACCGGCUAACUACGUGCCAGCCGCCGCGGUAAUUC
rnacentral:rRNA from 1 species